rnacentral:sRNA from 1 species
AGAUUAUCCAGGAGAUACACGAAUUAAUUCUGGCGGGUGAAAUGGAAGUCGCCAAAGGGAUGCUGCGCACGCUGAUUAAAGUCACGUUCGCUUAUCCUGCGAUUUUUGACGAGGUUCGACAGGAAUGCCAAAUCAACAAUGCGCAUGUUGUCGCCGGAUGUGGAUCCGGGUAUCAAAGCGUUUAUAGCCGUUGUCAGAGCUGCAGAACAACGGCAGGGAAGGGAUCAAACUUUAUGGGCCAGAAGUUUUUUGACAUACACGAAUCCAGCCGCUUUAACAUGUCUUUUA